GAUAUUGAUGAAUGCACAACCAACAUCUCGAACUGUCAACAAAACUGCAACAACACAAUUGGAAGCUUCCAGUGCAGUUGUGACCCAGGCUUCAGCACCAAUGUGACCAACUCUUCCCUUUGUGAUGACAUCGAUGAAUGUGCAACCAACACCUCAAACUGUCAACAAAUCUGCACCAACACAAUCAGAAGCUUCGUGUGCAGUUGUGAUUUAGGCUUCAGCACCAAUGUGACCAACACUUCACUUUGUGAUGAUAUAAAUGAAUGU